GGCCAUAUCUGGCAUCGUCGAAGGCCAGAUGAAAAAACUCGGAGUGGAAGCACUGUAGCGAGGUGACACACAUGAAAAUGCAAUCAGUCAUUGAUUUCCACUUGGCAUAGUCUACCUUGACUUGAAAGUCAGGAACAGAGCAACGAAAAACAGCCGUACUGCCACGACGAACUCGAGGAUUCUCGACGUUGACCUCGAAUGGCGGCAAAAUCACUUUUUUGGCGCCAAAAAGAAAAUACCUGCACGGACGCGCACAGGAGUGGAGAGGAUACGACCAAUGAAAUUGGCUGCCAAACACCUGUAGGUGGCAGCGUGAACGUCUGGUCGGAACUGCUCCGGCCGGAAGUUGACGUUGCAGUUGACGCUGCAGACGUAGAAGAUGAUUCGACUGGAUCCCAGAUGCCGCUGCCUGCCGCGCUGCUGCCUAAACGUUCUUUAAAAUCAAGUAUUCCGUUCAUUACAACUCAAAUGACAUGACAACAUCAGAUGACAACAUCUACGGAAAAAAAAAGAAACAUACGGGCGUCUAAGGGCAUUACACAAGAACGCACAAAUCCGCAGGCUACGUCGGUGUCUGUCGCGCUAUUUCUCCCUUUAUUCUCCCAAAUCAUUUGCAUAAAAGGGUACAAGUAUCCAGCAAAGAAUUUGAAUAAUGUCGUCUGUCCGGUUUGCUCAUGUCCGGAAGCGCAGCAAAAGCAUAAUCGCCCUUUAAACAGACUCAAUCAUUUGCAAACCAAAUAUAAGCAUUGGGUUGAUACAAAAACCUCUGCCUGGUAAUAAAGUGCAUUCACAGAG